GAUGAACGCUGGCGGCGUGCCUAAUACAUGCAAGUCGAGCGAACGGACGAGAAGCUUGCUUCUCUGAUGUUAGCGGCGGACGGGUGAGUAACACGUGGAUAACCUACCUAUAAGACUGGGAUAACUUCGGGAAACCGGAUCUAAUACCGGAUGAUAUUUUGAACCGCAUGGUUCAAAAGUGAAAGACGGUCUUGCUGUCACUUAUAGAUGGAUCCGCGCUGCAUUAGCUAGUUGGUAAGGUAACGGCUUACCAAGGCAACGAUGCAUAGCCGACCUGAGAGGGUGAUCGGCCACACGGGAACUUAGCCACGGUCAAGACUCCUACGGGAGGCAGCAGUAGGGAAUCUUCCGCAGUGGGCGAAAGCCUGACGGAGCAACGCCGCGUGAGUGAUGAAGGUCUUCGGAUCGUAAAACUCUGUUAUUAGGGAAGAACAUAUGUGUAAGUAACUGUGCACAUAUUGACGGUACCUAAUCAGAAAGCCACGGCUAACUACGUG
rnacentral:rRNA from 1 species